rnacentral:rRNA from 1 species
UGCGUAGGGUGCGAGCGUUGUCCGGAAUUAUUGGGCGUAAAGAGCUCGUAGGCGGUCUGUCGCGUCGGUCGUGAAAACUUGGGGCUUAACCCUGAGCUUGCGGUCGAUACGGGCAUGACUGGAGUUCGGCAGGGGAGACUGGAAUUCCUGGUGUAGCGGUGAAAUGCGCAGAUAUCAGGAGGAACACCGGUGGCGAAGGCGGGUCUCUGGGCCGAUACUGACGCUGAGGAGCGAAAGCGUGGGGAGCAAACAGG